rnacentral:rRNA from 1 species
GACGAACCGUGCGAACGUUAUUCGGAAUCAUUGGGCGUAAAGCGCACGUAGGCGGCCCGAUAAGUCGGAUGUGAAAUCCCUCGGCUCAACCGAGGACGUGCAUUCGAAACUGUCGGGCUCGAGUAUGGAAGAGGGUCGCGGAAUUCCCGGUGUAGAGGUGAAAUUCGUAGAUAUCGGGAGGAACACCAGUGGCGAAGGCGACGACCUGGGCCAAUACUGACGCUGAGGUGCGAAAGCGUGGGGAGCAAACAGG